GUAGCUCAGCAUUAGAACACUUGCCUAGCAUGCAUGAGGCCCUGGGUUCAAUUCCCAGC
rnacentral:tRNA from 1 species